AUGAGUACACUUUAAAUCCUUUAACAAGGAUCCAUUGGAGGGCAAGUCUGGUGCCAGCAGCCGCGGUAAUUCCAGCUCCAAUAGCGUAUAUUAAAGUUGUUGCGGUUAAAAAGCUCGUAGUUGGUUCUGCGUGCCGCACUGUCGGUUCUCCGCCUGUCGGUGUAACUGGCAUGUUGUGGUAUGUCCUGUCGGUGGUGAACAAAGAUCCUGGUGCAAACUAGGCUUAAUUGCCAAAGUUUGUACCGUGGUGUUUUUGUUUGCCGAUUUCUCCUAUUUCGGUGCUCUUAAACGAGUGUCGAGAUAGGCCGACACGUUCACUUUGAACAAAUUAGAGUGCUUAAAGCAGGCUGAAAUAUCUGCCUGAAUAGUGGUGCAUGGAAUGAUAAAAUAGGACCUCAGUUCUAUUUUAUUGGUUUUAGGAAUAUGAGGUAAUGAUCAAUGUGGACUGGCGGGGGCAUUCGUAUUGCGACGUUAGAGGUGAAAUUCUUGGAUCGUCGCAAGACGCACUAGAGCGAAAGCAUUUGCCAAGUAUGUCUUAAUUGAUCAAGAACGAAAGUUAGAGGUUCGAAGGCGAUCAGAUACCGCCCUAGUUCUAACCAUAAACGAUGCCAGCCAGCGAUCCGCCGAUGUUCCUUUAAUGACUCGGCGGGGAGCUUCUAUCCGGGAAACCAAAGCUUUUGGGUUCCGGGGGAAGUAUGGUUGCAAAGCUGAAACU
rnacentral:rRNA from 1 species